rnacentral:rRNA from 1 species
UGGCUCAUUAAAUCAGUUAUCGUUUAUUUGAUAGUACCUUACUACUUGGAUAACCGUGGUAAUUCUAGAGCUAAUACAUGCUAAAAACCCCAACUUCGGGAGGGGUGUAUUUAUUAGAUAAAAAACCAAUGCCCUUCGGGGCUCCUUGGUGAUUCAUGAUAACUUCUCAGAUCGCAGAGCCUUGUGCUGGCGACGGUUCAUUCAAAUUUCUGCCCUAUCAACUUUCGAUGGUGAGGUAGUGGCUUACCAUGGUUUCAACGGGUAACGGGGAAUUAGGGUUCGAUUCCGGAGAGGGAGCCUGAGAAACGGCUACCACAUCCAAGGAAGGCAGCAGGCGCGCAAAUUACCCAAUUCCGAUGCGGAGAGGUAGUGACAAUAAAUACUGAUACAGGGCUCUUUUGGGUCUUGUAAUUGGAAUGAGUACAAUUUAAACCUCUUAACGAGGAACAAUUGGAGGGCAAGUCUGGUGCCAGCAGCCGCGGUAAUUCCAGCUCCAAUAGCGUAUAUUAAAGUUGUUGCAGUUAAAAAGCUCGUAGUUGAACCUUUGGCCUGGCUGGCAGGUCCGCCUCACCGCGUGCACUUGUCCGGCCGGGCCUUUUCUUCUGGAGAACCGCAUGCCCUUCACUGGGUGUGUUGGGGACCAGGACUUUUACUUUGAAAAAAUUAGAGUGUUCAAAGCAGGCCUUUGCUCGAAUACGUUAGCAUGGAAUAAUAGAAUAGGACAUGCGGUCCUAUUUUGUUGGUUUCUAGGACCGCCGUAAUGAUUUAUAGGGACAGUCGGGGGCAUCAGUAUUCAAUUGUCAGAGGUGAAAUUCUUGGAUUUAUUGAAGACUAACUACUGCGAAAGCAUUUGCCAAGGAUGUUUUCAUUAAUCAGUGAACGAAAGUUAGGGGAUCGAAGACGAUCAGAACCGUUGUAGUUUUAACCAUAAACUAUGCCGACUAGGGAUCGGGCGGUGUUUCUAUUGUGACCCGCUCGGCA